CAGCAGCCGCGGUAAUACGAAGGGUGCAAGCGUUAAUCGGAAUUACUGGGCGUAAAGCGUGCGUAGGCGUUUGUUAAGUCUGCUGUGAAAUCCCCGGGCUCAACCUGGGAAUGGCAGUGGAUACUGGCAAGCUAGAGUGUGUCAGAGGAUGGUGGAAUUCCCGGUGUAGCGGUGAAAUGCGUAGAGAUCGGGAGGAACAUCAGUGGCGAAGGCGGCCAUCUGGGACAACACUGACGCUGAGGCACGAAAGCGUGGGGAGCAAACAGGAUUAGAUACCCCAGUAGUCCCUGUCUCUUAUACA
rnacentral:rRNA from 1 species